AACGAACGCUGGCGGCGUGGCUAAGACAUGCAAGUCGUACGGUAUGUUGUAGCAAUAUGGCAUACAGUGGCGGACGGGUGAGUAAUGAAUGGGUAAUGUGCCCUGGACACAGGAAUAGCGUCGGAACCCGCAAGGGUUCCUUUGCGAAAGUGACGGUAAUACCUGAUAAAGACGUUGGAAGGAUGCUUUUGACGUCCAAAGGGUGGGGACCUUCGGGCCUACCGGUCUGGGAUCAGCCCAUCCUAUCAGCUAGUUGGUGAGGUAACGGCCCACCAAGGCAUCGACGGGGUAGCCGGUCUGAGAGGAUGGUCGGCCACAUCGGAACUGAGACACUGUCCGGACACCUACGGGU
rnacentral:rRNA from 1 species